GUCGGCAGCUAGCUCUCUGCAACUCUCACAUGGUCGCCCACUGAAGUUAAGCAGGGCUGCGAUUGGUCAGAACCUGGAUGGGAGACCACAUAGGAAAGCUAGGUUGCUGCCGGAA
ensembl:rRNA 5S_rRNA 5S ribosomal RNA